UUAGAAACAUGAAAUCCUAAUAAAAAUGUAGCCUCAGACUAUGUCGAAACGAUCGUUGAAAAUAAUUAAAGUUCUGAUUGUAGUGCACAUAUCCCUGCAAUGAGUUGGAAUAAAAGUAUGACAAGGGAUUAUUUCUUUAAUCUAGUAAUGGAGUCGCGUGGUCGAUAGUGACCAAUAAAGGGACAAUAACAAUUUAUCUGUGCUUUGGUCAUUUCAUUAAAUAAUGUCUAUACCUGAAUCCUGUGUCAUCAAUAAUGAAAUGCUACAUACACGCACAUUCAUGGAACACGUGUGCGUCUGGGUGCAGUUUGCUUUGAAGAUAAAUGAUCGUCUAAUUGAAUUUAUUAAUCAAUUACAAUAUUAUAUAAUUGAGUGUACGCCGUUUGAAAUCGAAAACCGUCCCGAGUGCAUUGUCAUGUGCAGUGUGAAUACUGUGUUUAACUUGCAAUGGAAAUGACAUAAUAUAGUAUUAUAUAAUAUUAUCUAUAAAUUAACUGAAAACAAUAUCAUAAUCAAAUAAAAGACGUAAGCUAUCGAA